rnacentral:rRNA from 1 species
AACGAACGCUGGCGGCAUGCCUAACACAUGCAAGUCGAACGAGACCUUCGGGUCUAGUGGCGCACGGGUGCGUAACGCGUGGGAAUCUGCCCUCUGGUUCGGAAUAACUCAGGGAGACUUGAGCUAGCACCGGAUAAUGACUUCGGUCCAAAGAUUUAUCGCCUGAGGAUGAGCCCGCGUUGGAUUAGCUAGUUGGUGAGGUAAAGGCUCACCAAGGCGACGAUCCGUAGCUGGUCUGAGAGGAUGAUCAGCCACACUGGGACUGAGACACGGCCCAGACUCCUACGGGAGGCAGCAGUGGGGAAUAUUGGACAAUGGGCGAAAGCCUGAUCCAGCAAUGCCGCGUGAGUGAUGAAGGCCUUAGGGUUGUAAAGCUCUUUUACCCGGGAUGAUAAUGACAGUACCGGGAGAAUAAGCCCCGGCUAACUCCGUGCCAGCCGCCGCCGUAA